rnacentral:rRNA from 1 species
CAGCAGCCACGGGAAUACAGAGGGUGCGAGCGUUAAUCGGAUUUACUGGGCGUAAAGCGUGCGUAGGCGGCUAAUUGAGUCGGAUGUGAAAUCCCCGAGCUUAACUUGGGAAUUGCAUUCGAUACUGGUUAGCUAGAGUGUGGGAGAGGAUGGUAGAAUUCCAGGUGUAGCGGUGAAAUGCGUAGAGAUCUGGAGGAAUACCGAUGGCGAAGGCAGCCAUCUGGCCUAACACUGACGCUGAGGUACGAAAGCAUGGGGAGCAAACAGGAUUAGAUACCCCAGUAGUCCCUGUCUCUUAUAA